rnacentral:tRNA from 1 species
GGCGGCGUAGCUCAGCUGGCAGAGCAAACGGCUCAUAUCCGUUAGGUCAUUGGUUCAAUCCCAAUCGCCGCUA